AGUGAACGCUGGCGGCGUGCUUAACACAUGCAAGUCGAACGAGAACGGAUUAUAGCUUGCUAUAAUUGUCAGCUAAGUGGCGCACGGGUGAGUAAUGUAUAGGUAAUAUGCCUCUUACUAAGGGAUAACAAUUGGAAACGUUUGCUAAUACCUUAUACUCCUUAUUAACAUAAGUUAAUAAGGGAAAGAUUUAUUGGUAAGAGAUUAGCCCGUAUUGUAUCAGUUAGUUGGUGAGGUAAUGGCUUACCAAGACUAUGACACAUAACUGGUUUGAGAGGAUGAUCAGUCACACUGGAACUGAGACACGGUCCAGACUCCUACGGGAGGCAGCAGUGGGGAAUAUUGCACAAUGGACGAAAGUCUGAUGCAGCAACGUCGCGUGGAGGAUGACACAUUUCGGUGCGUAAACUCCUUUUAUAUGAGAAGAUAAUGACGGUAUUAUAUGAAUAAGCACCGGCUAACUCCGUGCCAGCCGCCGCCGUAA
rnacentral:rRNA from 1 species